AUACCGCAUAAAAUUAUGGAAUCGCAUGGUUCAGCAAUCAAAGGAGUAAUCCGCUAUGAGAUGGGCCCGCGGCGCAUUAGCUAGUUGGUAAGGUAAAGGCUUACCAAGGCGACGAUGCGUAGCCGACCUGAGAGGGUGAUCGGCCACAUUGGAACUGAGACACGGUCCAGACUCCUACGGGAGGCAGCAGUGGGGAAUAUUGCGCAAUGGGGGAAACCCUGACGCAGCAACGCCGCGUGAGUGAUGAAGGCCUUAGGGUUGUAAAGCUCUGUUUUCUGGGACGAUAAUGACGGUACCAAAGGAGGAAGCCACGGCUAACUACGUGCCAGCAGCCGCGGUAAUACGUAGGUGGCGAGCGUUGUCCGGAUUUACUGGGCGUAAAGAGUGCGUAGGCGGAUGUUUAAGUGAGAUGUGAAAUACCCGAGCUCAACUUGGGUGCUGCAUUUCAAACUGGAUAUCUAGAGUGCAGGAGAGGAAAGCGGAAUUCCUAGUGUAGCGGUGAAAUGCG
rnacentral:rRNA from 1 species